AUGCACAAAGCAGAAAAGCUCUCCUGAGCCAAAAAGAGAAGCCUGUUGCCUAAUUUCUUUUAGCCCCUGCCUCUGGGGGCUUAGCUUUUCUGUAUGAGUGCUUGAACACAUCUGCGCUGAGAUUCUGCUCUGCACCAGAUAAGAAAACUGAGAUUUAAGAGUCACUUCCCCAAGGAGAGCUAGGUAACACGCGGCCGAGCUGGGAGGAGCUGGGCAGUCUUACCCCCGAGUCCUGCUGGGAACGCUCCCACACACCUUCUGGCAUGUGAAGAGGCUGCUACAAUGUGUGGUUUUGUGUGUUCUAUGGAGUGUGGAAGCAAUUCUGACAGAAGGCAGGGGGAGAGGAAAGGAAAGACAACGGCAGGACCGCUUCCCAAAGGAGGAGUCAAUGACCCUGAGAUGUGAAGGCUGAGCAGGAUGUGGCCAGGUGAAAAGCUGGACGCAAGGAGACACUCUUUGAGUUAAGUGAGCAGCAUUUAUACUUUCCGGAAGAGAAAGGCUUCAAGGAAAUGCAGGAAGUUCAGAGGAGCACUUGGUUAUCUGUGUCAACCAAGGAAACAGGAAUGAAGUCUGGAGUGGCAUGUAUCAAAAUGUUAACAUCGGUUGUCUGAAUAAAGGCAUGUUAGUUGAU